rnacentral:rRNA from 1 species
GGCCUGAUGCGCGCAGCCGGCGUGGGGUCAUACUCGCGUCUGUGUUGUUGUGCGUCUACCAUCCUUCCGGACAGCGGCGUGCCUUUAACCGGGUGGCGUUUGCUUUCUGGAUCAUUUACUUUGAAAAAAUUAGAGUGUUCAAAGCAGGCGUUUGCUGUGAAUACAUUAGCAUGGAAUAAUAAUUUAGGACUUCUGUUCUAUUUUGUUGGUUUCUAGGAUAGGAGUA